UCCUCAAUGGUCUAGUGGUCAUGAUUUCCGCUUGUCAAGCCUCACAGCUCUACAAGCGCGGGAGAGUAAGCAACCACCGCAGCCAUUGCCUGAUUAUCAAUCAUGCUAACGGAUGUCACAGCCAGGGUUCGAUUCCCUGUUGGGGAG
rnacentral:tRNA from 1 species